rnacentral:rRNA from 1 species
ACUUAGUGGCGGACGGGUGAGUAACGCGUGGGUAACCUGCCCUGUACAGGGGGACAACAGCUGGAAACGGCUGCUAAUACCGCAUAAGCCCUUAGCACUGCAUGGUGCAUAGGGAAAAGGAGCAAUCCGGUACAGGAUGGACCCGCGUCUGAUUAGCCAGUUGGCAGGGUAACGGCCUACCAAAGCGACGAUCAGUAGCCGAUCUGAGAGGAUGUACGGCCACAUUGGGACUGAGACACGGCCCAGACUCCUACGGGAGGCAGCAGUGGGGAAUAUUGCACAAUGGAGGGAACUCUGAUGCAGCGACGCCGCGUGAGUGAAGAAGUAUUUCGGUAUGUAAAGCUCUAUCAGCAGGGAAGAAAAUGACGGUACCUGACUAAGAAGCACCGGCUAAAUACGUGCCAGCAGCCGCGGUAAUACGUAUGGUGCAAGCGUUAUCCGGAUUUACUGGGUGUAAAGGGAGCGUAGACGGAUGGGCAAGUCUGAUGUGAAAACCCGGGGCUCAACCCCGGGACUGCAUUGGAAACUGUUCAUCUAGAGUGCUGGAGAGGUAAGUGGAAUUCCUAGUGUAGCGGUGAAAUGCGUAGAUAUUAGGAGGAACACCAGUGGCGAAGGCGGCUUACUGGACAGUAAC